rnacentral:lncRNA from 1 species
UUGCUACGUUUUUGCUAUGAAAACAAAACGUGGCAAGCUUUUGCUACGAAAUUGCUACUAAAAUUAACGUAGCAACUAGCUACGAUUUCAUACCGUAUCAAAUUCGUAGCAACCCACCGAAAAAUACGCCCCACCAGUCAAAUCCUGAGCAAGUGGCAGCGAUAAAAACAAAAAAACAAUAAGCAACGUGAAUUUUUCGUCGCUUACUCUAAAGUAAUGUCCCCUCAAUCCGACAAUGUGCAGGGUAAAUAAUGCUAGAUAUUUUGGAGCUUGCCACGAUAAUGGAUCGUAGCAAAUUUCGUAGCUAUUUUCGUAGCAAAACGUGGCAAGAAACGUAGCAAUGUCAUAGCAAAAUCGUGGCAUUAUUUUUUCUAUAAAAGCAACCGAGCGC